GGCCGUUCUAUCGCUGUCCUGAAAAGGAGAGAGGAAAGUCCGGGCAACAAAGGGUAUCGUGCUUCCUAACGGGAAGAUGCUUGCGAAGGUAUAGUAGCGUAACAGAAAAUAACCGUUUCAGAGGAAUUUUAUUCGUUUGAAAUAAGGGUGAAAAGGUGGGGUAAGAGCCCACCGGUGCUGCGGGUGACCGUGGCAGCCGUACGCCUCACGAGUUGCAAGACCAUGUACACCGGCGCUGUUGGUUGGCCCGACCAAUGCCGGGGGGUAGGUCGCUUGAGCUGCAAAGUGAUUUGCAGAUUAGAUAAAUGAUAGAAACCGCAAGGUACAGAACCCGGCUUACAGGCCUGCUAU
rnacentral:RNase_P_RNA from 1 species